rnacentral:rRNA from 1 species
UACAGAGGGGGCAAGCGUUGUUCGGAAUUACUGGGCGUAAAGGGCGCGUAGGCGCCUGUUAAGUCGAACGUGAAAUCCCCGGGCUCAACCCGGGAACUGCGUCCGAUACUGGCAGGCUUGAAUUCGGGAGAGGGAUGCGGAAUUCCAGGUGUAGCGGUGAAAUGCGUAGAUAUCUGGAGGAACACCGGUGGCCGAAGGCG